rnacentral:rRNA from 1 species
UACGUAGGGUGCAAGCGUUAAUCGGAAUUACUGGGCGUAAAGCGUGCGCAGGCGGUUUUGUAAGUCUGUCGUGAAAUCCCCGGGCUCAACCUGGGAAUUGCGAUGGAGACUGCAAGGCUAGAAUCUGGCAGAGGGGGGUAGAAUUCCACGUGUAGCAGUGAAAUGCGUAGAGAUGUGGAGGAACACCGAUGGCGAAGGCAGCCCCCUGGGUCAAGAUUGACGCUCAUGCACGAAAGCGUGGGGAGCAA